CCAGCUCUCUUUGCCUUUUGGCUUAGAUCAAGUGUAGUAUCUGUUCUUUUCAGUUUAAUCUCUGAAACGUUCCUACGGGAACAUCAAGAUUAAUCUUGUUUUUGGAUUUGGGGUGGUGGCCUCUGAGCUUGCUCAUGUCAUUGCCCACUGUGUCGCCUGUAUUUGCACUGUCUCGGGCUGAUGCGAACUUGA
rnacentral:snRNA from 1 species